rnacentral:rRNA from 1 species
UACGUAGGGUGCAAGCGUUGUCCGGAAUUAUUGGGCGUAAAGAGCUCGUAGGCGGUCUGUCGCGUCGGCUGUGAAAACCCGGGGCUCAACCCCGGGACCUGCAGUCGAUACGGGCAGACUAGAGUGCGGUAGGGGAGACUGGAAUUCCUGGUGUAGCGGUGAAAUGCGCAGAUAUCAGGAGGAACACCGGUGGCGAAGGCGGGUCUC